ACACGACUACAUUAGAUACCCCCGUAGUCCAGGGUGUAAACGCUGCAGACUUGGUGUUGGAGGCCCUUUGGGGGCAUUCAGUGCCGGAGAGAAGUUGUUAAGUCUGCUACUUGGGGAGUACGUCCGCAAGGAUGAAACUUAAAGGAAUUGGCGGGGGAGCACCGCAACGGGAGGAGCGUGCGGUCUAAUUGGAUUCAACACCGUAAACUCACCAGGGAAGACUGUUACAUGAAGGCCGAGAUGAAGACUCUGCUAGAUUUUCAG
rnacentral:rRNA from 1 species